UUGUAGUACAAUUUAAGGAUCUUAGAUUAAGAAAUUGCACCUUAUGUUAAAAAUUGGAAUUCCAAAUCAUUACUGUUACUGUACCGUGACUCCAAUAGUUGCUUGUAGUCACGAACUAUAGUCAGCCCAACCGCACGGCUAGCUAGCGGCAAUGAAUCAACAGUCAGUAGAACUUCAGAUCCCAUCCGGUGCAGACUUGUCCACUUUGGUCUCAUCAUCUUUGUAUCUUCAGUUAGUCUUCACCGUAAUUCGACCACCUUGUUCUCUGGGCGCUUUUCACCUGAUGCGUACACCUUCGCCGUAUCUCCUGAGUUAUCCCUACACUUGCGGAGACGCUCGCUACUACCUCGACGAGCAGCACGUGCCGGUGGUGACGUGGAUGAUCAACCUGUCUUGGCGGUUGGCUUUGGGAGAUGUUGAGAUCUGCAGGGAGGCCCACGAUCUUAGCGCUGAUGGCCCCACGGCGAGAUCACGGUACGAGUCCAGGAGUGUUCGUGUUCUCAUUCAGUAUGGAACUGUUUCCGAUCGCUGAGCAAGUUCCUUUUUAAUAUAAAGAGCUUCUACGUCAUAAACCAUUUAAUCAGUCAGUUUGAAUUGGAAUUCUAAUUUACAAUCUAAUUUGAAAUCACUUUGAAAUUCUGUAAUUGAAACCUUUGUGAACUAUUUGCAGGCGUGUGAAGUGGCGCUAAAGGUGGAAGAUGCCUGGAAGGAGUCUGGGUCGGAAGCCUUACUAGCUUCCGAGUUUCGUUCAAUAAACUUGUAUCGUUA